AAGAAACCAGUAAGGAAACAAACACAUUUGCAGGUAGAGUAGGAAAGGAGAACCAAAUGAGUUGGGCAAGGAAAGCUGUGUUGCGUGAUUUACGAUCAGUCUCCACAAAGUUAAGUCAUAGACAAUGAAAACUUGUUAAUUUUCAUUAAGGCAGACUAAGAUUUAUUUUGUGAAGUGACUGUUUUAUCUCUAAUUUAGAAACGCAUUGAGCCAAACAGCUCCACAGGCAGCAGAACCCGUCCCCUUGGAAAAUGCUUGGUAGUUCCCUUUGCAUUCCUAAAUUGGUACUCCCAGCCCCAGACAGGAAGUCCCGCCCUCCACCGGAAAAGAUGGAGGCUGGACUCAGAAGCUAGAGCUGGUCCUGUUCAUUCUACAAAUACAUGCUAAGUGGCUACUGUGUGCCGGGCUCUGAUCUGAGUGCUGAGGACACAGUUGAGGUGUGUCACAGAGCUUACCUUCUAAUGAGAGAGGAAAGACAAUAAACAGUGCCAACACCCAAGAAAAUGAGAUGCAAUGGAUUACAAUUGAAACUGUAACAAUGAGGACAAAAAGCAUUUUCAGAUCUCCAAGUUAAU